rfam:Geobacteraceae bacterium GWC2_53_11 gwc2_scaffold_2800, whole genome shotgun sequence.
GGAGGGAUUCCCGAGCGGCCAAAGGGAACAGACUGUAAAUCUGUCGUCAGCGACUUCGGAGGUUCGAAUCCUCCUCCCUCCA